CUUACUUUCCUAUUCUCUCUUCAAAACCCCUCUCGUCGCUCGCUCUUAGGUGCUCUCCCUAACCCCCAUGAUUGCGCAGAUCAGGCCUUAACCUUCUUUUCUGCUUUCCUUCGUUCGCUUUCUUUCUCAAUAUAGGUCGGAGCAACGAUUUUGAAUCUUAUUCUUUUGGGGGGUCAUGCGUUAGGCUUUAGGCCCCUAUCUCUUUCUUUUUGUGCUUGAAAAGUGGAGUUUCGAUGUCUACUGCUCCUUCCUCUUCGUCUUCUUCCACGUCGAAGAAAUGCUUCAAUUCGGAUUGUACGGACUUCAAAUCCAGGAAAGGCUGGCGGUUGCGUUCCGGAGACUCUGCGGAGCUUUGUGAUCGAUGCGCUUCCGCUUAUGAAGAGGGGAGAUUCUGUGAGACUUUCCACCUGAGUGCCACUGGCUGGAGAUGUUGUGAUUCUUGUGGGAAGCGGGUUCAUUGUGGAUGUAUUGUUUCAAUUCAAGCAUUUACACUAUUGGAUGCUGGAGGGAUUGAGUGCAUGGCGUGUGCAAGGAAAAAUGUUGUUUUGACAUCAAAUAGCGCAUGGCCAGCUUCUUUAUUUUAUAAUACUCCUUUACCUGAGAGGUUUAAAGACCUUUCUGUCAAAAGUUGGAGUCAAUUAGCUGGAUCGGGUCCCGUACCAUGGCGAGCAGCACCCAGUUUGUUCAAUUCCUCAAUUCCUCAUUCUGAAUUGCAUCCAAGGAAUCUAUAUGAAAUUGAAAGGCUUAAUCCCGGUGAAAGAUCUUCUGUCCCUUCUCUAGAAAAAGGAAGAAUAGAGGAUUUUUCUGACAGAUUAAUAAAUGGGAGCCUGAAACUUGGCACAAGAGAUAUGCUUGAAAAUGGAAAUGCAGGUUUCAGCAAUGAGGAGAAGCCCAAUUCGUGCUUAGGCACAUCACAGCAGCCUGUUUUAAAGGAGGAUCCAUCUACUCCACAACUUGGGAUUGCUAUACCUUUUGCAGCUCUGAAUGAAUCAAAUGGUCAAAUUGGGGGCUCUGGAACUCCUUUACGGCAACCUGCUCCACCUUUGCUUGCAAAGCAGUUUCAUGGUAAUUUGCAUAAUGGAGUUGACUCAUCACCUGAUACUCAGAUUCGCAAUGGAAGGCCUCGAGCUGAUGCCCGUGGAAGAAGCCAGUUACUUCCUCGGUACUGGCCUAGGUUUACUGAUGAAGAGCUACAGCAGAUCUCUGGAAAUUCAAAUUCUGUAAUCACCCCUUUGUUUGAGAAAAUGUUGAGUGCUAGUGAUGCUGGGCGAAUUGGGCGUUUGGUGCUGCCAAAAAAAUGUGCAGAGGCCUAUUUUCCGCCAAUCUCACAUCCUGAAGGGUUACCACUUAAGGUCCAGGAUUCUAAAGGGAAAGAAUGGGUAUUUCAAUUCCGCUUUUGGCCUAACAAUAAUAGCAGAAUGUAUGUUCUGGAAGGGGUAACUCCUUGCAUACAGAAUAUGCGAUUGCAAGCAGGAGAUACAGUAACAUUUAGUCGAUUAGAGCCAGAAGGAAAAUUGGUUAUGGGAUUCAGAAAGGCUUCAACUGCUCCGUCAUCUGAUCAGGUAACUGUUUGUUGACUUUUGUUAAAUUUCCAAGUAAUAUUUUAGACUGAGUAUCAUUACGUGCAAGGGCAAGGACAGCUGGAAAUCCCUGGACUUUUCUGUUGCAAUCUUCCAGUUGCCAAUCCGUGUGUGCAUAGUUUGUGUUUUUUAGAUUUAGUUUUGAUAUUACUUGCUUUCCUGUUGAUUUUUGGUUCGGCAUUAAUACCACCAGUUUUUAUUUACAGGACAAUGAUACAAGUAAGAAUGGUAAUGGUGUUUCUACAAAUGGAGAUGUUAGUAUUACAAAGACUUUUAUGGUGAAGUUGCAUUAACCAUUUAUUGUUUGAAAGAUAAUUUGGAAUAACUUGGUUUUCUAUCAAUCAAACAGUUUGAAUUGGCUGAUUCUAGUUCUUGGUCUAAAGUUGACAAGUCCGGUUACAUAGCAAAAGAAGUUCUUGAAGGAAAAUCUUCAAUCAAAAAGAGGAAAAGCAGCACAUUGGGUUCAAAGAGUAAGCGCUUGAGAAUUGAAAAUGAAGACAUGAUAGAACUGAAGCUAACAUGGGAAGAAGCACAAGGACUGCUCCGUCCUCCUCCCGACCAUGUUCCUAGUGUCGUUGUGAUUGAGGGAUUUGAGUUUGAGGAGUAUGAGGUUUGAUUAAUUCCAGACUAGAAAUAAAUGUGUAUUCUCUUUAUUUAGUCACCUUCCAGCAUGCUUGUGUUAUAGCCAGCAGCAGUAGGUCUCUUGGAUUUCAUGUCUCUCUUGUGAUUGACUGUCAGUUAUUUAUUUGUCUGUUCUUUUGCAGCUCCAAUUACAUGUAUUGCACUUUGCUGAUUUUGUAUGAUUAGACUGUAGUGAGCCUAAUAUGCAAACAUAAAUUUUCCAUGAUAGGAUUAAUUGGGUGAGAUAAAUUGAGGUGUACAGUAAAAGGCUGCAAAAAAUUAUCUUCUAUUAUACUGAGGAUUUGCUAAAUUGCUAUUGUGAUGGCUGUAAUUAGAUCCUACUUUUUUCAUAUUGAAUUUUAGGCUAAUGAUACUGACAAAGACAAAAGAGUAAAAGAAUACAAGUGUCAAAGAAAGACAACUCCACUAUUGGCUAAAAAUUCUUAAGUCUUGCCUCGAUCUGAAUAUGGUUUCUUGCAUUUAUUAUCAUCAAUCCUUGUUUGGAUUGAAGAAAACUUGCCGUUAUCUGAUCAUUAAUUGAUUGUUCCUUAAAAUGUUUGGGUGGAGAGCAUAUGCAUAUGCAUCUUUGGCAUGCUACAAUUUUUGAGGUUUACGUGUGCUGUGGCAGGAUGCACCAAUACUUGGAAAGGCCACAAUUUUUGCAACUGAUAAUUUGGGCCAAAAAGUUCAAUGGGUUCAAUGUGAGGAUUGUUUUAAAUGGCGCAAACUGCCUGCCAAUGCUCUUCUUCCCUUCAAAUGGACAUGUUCUGGUAACUCUUGGGAUCCAGAAAGGUAUAAAAUGUUUCCAUUUAUUUUUUAAGAUACAAGUUUCUCCCCAUAUAUUCAUUAAUCUAAGCUUUGAGGGACUGUUGGAAUAGCCUGGGAGCUCUCAAUUUAAGGUGAUGCCUGGUGAAACACCAAAUUAUUUUUUUAUCCCUCAGCAAGAUUUAAAAAUGCAUUUGAUGGACAAACGCUACAUAGGUUCUUGCUUGUUACCUUGUAAUAUGUGUUCUUCUGUACUGUGGUAAAAUAAUGGAGUAAGCCAGUGUUCUAUCUUCUUUUCUCUAAGAUGGACAAACAACUGUGUAAAAGUUUGACAUUAUCUGAAUACCUAUGAAUUGCAGCCUCUGAGUACUGUGUUAACAUGUUUAUAUCUCUGUCACCAGAUCAUUGUGUUCAGCGGCUCAAGAAUUGACAGCUGCACAGCUUGAAGAUCUGCUACCAUCUUCUAAUUUAGGUAUAAAUUACUUGGAAAAAAUUUGCAAUUUUGUCUUCUUCUACAUGUUGAAAAUUCACCAUCAUUAACAGUACCAUUUUCAGUGUGGUACUAAGUACCACAAUCAUUUUUUGCACUUCUGCUACUCUUGCUGUAAGUAAUACAUACUGAUGAUUUUAAAAUUGUCUCAUGUUCCUAAUGGUGGUACUUGUGUUUCCUACCCCAACUGCUCAAUUCACAAUUGGAAUCAUGGUUGUGAACUAGGAGCUGCAUCGAAGAAAAUGAAGGCUGCUAAACAGGAAGCAGAUAAUGUUGAAGCAUUGGAAGGGCUUGACACUCUAGCGAACUUGGCUAUUUUAGGAGAGAAUGAGGCACUUCCAACUUCAUCCCAGGCAACCACAAAGCAUCCCAGACAUAGACCUGGUUGCUCAUGCAUUGUGUGCAUUCAGCCCCCUAGUGGGAAAGGCCCCAAACACAAGCAGACGUGCACAUGUAAUGUGUGCCAAACUGUAAAGCGCCGAUUCAAAACCCUAAUGAUGAAGCGUGAGAAGAAGCAAUCGGAGAAAGAAGCAGAAACUACAAGGAAAAAACAGCAGCAAACUUUGCCUGAGAAAUUACUAGAUGAUGAUCCCUCACCAUCAACUAACACUGGAAGUAGCAGCCCAAACAAGAAAAAGGUCAUCAGUGACGGUUAUGAUGAUGAUCCCAACAAAAUUAAAUCAUCCACUUCACCUUUUAAAGGCCAAAUAGACCUGAAUAUCCAGCCUGAGCGAGAGGAAGAGCUGUCACCUGGUUCAGAUUCUGGAAGCAUGAUGAAGAUGAUUCAAGAUGCCACUGAGAGGUAUCUCAGGCAGCAGAGGUUGAGCUUUGAUGGUGAUAGUAUUUCAGCAAGUAAUCAAACAUUGGCAGGCCAUGGAAUGGGUGAGAAAGUCAGCAAUGGCAUUAUGCUUGGCAGCAGUCAUCAAGAUUCUGACAAAGAUCAUCCUGCAACUUUUUCUAUGGAAGUGUCUGCAUCCUCUCCGGCCACUGGAUAGAUAAUGCCUUUAACAAUGCAAUGCUGUAUUGACCAUCCAUGGAGGAUUUGGGAGCUGAUUGCAAGGGUAAUUCUCUUUGUACAUUUCCACAUUGGCAUUGCGCUUCUUUGUUCUGUACAUAAAGUAUAGUGGAGUGGGCAACAAUAUGGUUGAGUAACCGAUAAUUUUGCUGAUUCAUAUUCAUACUGUGAUCUCUACUGUAAUAUAAGUGGAUGCUGACUAGUUUAGAGUUGGGAAUGACGAUAACUUAUCAAGUGGGUGGUAGGUUGAAGCUAUGUAGUUCAUUUUUAGGAGCUCACCACUACCCUUGCUCAGCUGUGCCAGUUUUUUUCACUUGGUAAAUGAGAAAUUGCUUUUCAGUAAUUCUAGCUUAUAUGCAUUGAUUGCCCAUAAAUAAGUAGAAUGUUGACAGAAGCUUCCAUUCCUUAACAUCCUACAUGUGUAAGCUUUCAUGUCAUCAUUCUUCUCCAAUAAACAGGUAGGAUGCGCUCCAUUUGGCCAUUAUUGUGCAAGUUUGAAGGAAUGUAAUUGAACAUGAUGAAAAUUUUGAUAGAACAAUGAAUUUACCUUGCUUUAGGUUUUAUUUCAACUUAGCAGACAUGCAUUAGGUUGAGUGGUUGGGAUAUUUAAAUUUCGGGUAAAUGAGGUGGGAAAAUUGUAACAG
rnacentral:misc_RNA from 1 species